rnacentral:rRNA from 1 species
UACGGGGGGGUAAGCGUUGUUCGGAAUUACUGGGCGUAAAGGGCUCGUAGGCGGCCAACUAAGUCAGACGUGAAAUCCCUCAGCUUAACUGGGGAACUGCGUCUGAUACUGGAUGGCUUGGAUUCGGGAGAGGAAUGCGGAAUUCCAGGUGUAGCGGUGAAAUGCGUAGAUAUCUGGAGGAACACCGGUGGCGAAGGCGGCGUUCUGGACUGCAACUGACACUGAGGAACGAAAGCCAGGGGAGCAAAACGGGG